UACGUAGGGUCCGAGCGUUGUCCGGAAUUAUUGGGCGUAAAGGGCUCGUAGGCGGUUUGUCGCGUCGGGAGUGAAAACCUACAGCUUAACUGUGGGCUUGCUUUCGAUACGGGCAGACUUGAGGCAUGCAGGGGAGAACGGAAUUCCUGGUGUAGCGGUGAAAUGCAUAGAUACCAUAAAGAACACCUAUUGCGAAGGCAGCUUACUAGCUGUAACUGACGCUGAGGCACGAAAGCGUGGGGAGCGAACGAGGA
rnacentral:rRNA from 1 species